rnacentral:rRNA from 1 species
CAAAGACGAUGAGGUAGAUAGGUUCGGGGUGGAAGCGUGGCGACACGUGCAGCUGACGAAUACUAAUCGAUCGAGGACUUAACCA